rnacentral:rRNA from 1 species
GCUCACGGCCAUACCACCCUGAACACGCCCGAUCUCGUCUGAUCUCGGAAGCUAAGCAGGGUCGGGCCUGGUCAGUACUUGGAUGGGAGACCGCCUGGGAAUACUAGUGCUGUAAGCU